AGAAAAGCGAAGAAAGAACCGAAGUAGAGACAUCUUCCCUGGCCCAGAGAGCGUGUGGUGCUGCGAACACGCCCAAAAGAUGAAUCGAAUUACAGUUCCUGAGCUCUCAUCAUUGAGCGGUCCCCCGUUAUCGGAUCAAGCGGCUAGAAUUUUUCUAGCAACCAGGGUGGUACCGCGGCUUUGUCGUCCCUAUC
rnacentral:ncRNA from 2 species